UUUGUUGACACUCGAGUUCAAAGCUUGCUGGGACCGCCUCUUGUCAGGCGUUGUUGCGCCGUCCCGCGCUGGAGGAGCUAGGAAAUGGGGAAGGGGCGGUGGGGGCUGCCUCGCUAGGAAUGGCCGCGGAGGAGGAUCAGUCACGUGGCCCAGCAGCCGGCCCCUGGCGCUCUUGGACUCAGGGCAGGGUUUUAAAUGCGGAGUCAUCCCAGAGCUCCACGGCUUUCGCGCCUUCCGGCGAGGGUGGGCGUUUCGCUUGCAAAGUUGUGUACGUGUUCCUAAAGGGGGUGAAUGCUGAUUUGCGCCCUCUGUUAACACGUUCCAGAAUUAAUAACCCCUAAAACCAGCUGAGUUAUUUGUCUCCACCAGUGCGGCUGCAAAGUCUCUGUGUUGAAGUUCCGCAAAGGUUCGGCCCUUAGCAGCCCACAUACAUGAAAUGACUCCUCAUGGUAGUGGAAAUGCCAAAAAAAGCAAAAGGAAACACCGACCGCAGGGUUAUGAGAGCAUAACUUUCCCUGGUUUUUUAGCAUAUUGCCAAAAUUCUGUCUCCUCAAAGCCAGGAUGCAGUGACUAACGUCUGAAAUACUUGCCCUUGGCCAACCAGCUCACAUGGCCUCUCGCUGCGCGCAGAAAAUGUCCGUGUCUUGGAGUGCAGCUCUGUAGGCAUUUGACCUGCUCUGCCCGAGCAAAUCUGCCUUUAUCUUAACAUUUCACGCAAAAUAGAGAAUGCUUUGUUUAGAAGGCAGAACUCACAGUACCUAACUUUCUUGUCUUUAGGAAUUUCGAGGGAUGUGGAAUAUAGUCUGAACAAGUGAGAUCGUUUAGCCUCAAAAGGAAGCAAAACAAAAUGUGAAAAGUUCUAUGCUGCUGAAACCAGAUUUGAAGAAUAUCAAAGAUCGUGUUGUGCAGUGGAGCGGAGCAACAUUAGGAAACAGAACACACUUCUGAACUGAGUUCACUAAUUAAGCAAACCCAUGUCUAUCUUUUGGAUGUAGAUGGAUCGUACAGCAGCUUUGGAGGCAGAAGUUGUGGGCAUGCUGAACUCGACAUUCACGUGAUUGGCAAAUCUGGAAGGCACUUCCCGGUCAGAGCCAAGUUC